UUCAUGUCUGUGUUUUGUUCUCAAAAUACAACUUGUGCAGGGUGCGUGAUUUGCUGCCACGAAAUAGUGGUUUUAAAAGUCACAAAAGGCAGAACUUUUCAAAUCCUGCACACAAUGGAAAUCACAGACCCAUCUACAAUUUUAACUAGGAAACUUUGGAUUGAUGUGGUGUUGGGUAUACAGGUAGCAAGUGUAAGCAUUGGUUAAGGGGUAUGGUUGGUAUAGUGAGGGUCAGCUUUAACUAAAUAUGCAUUUAGAUUCUAGACUUAUUAAGCAUUUAAUCAGGACUGAUAUAUGCAUCUUUAUUUUGUUUUUUAUUUAGUUGCAGAUGUGUAAAAUUAACAGCUGAAAUAUCAAAACUGAAGGAACACUAUUGUCUGGAACCCAAACUAGGGAUCGACUGUGAAUCAGUCUGGC